UACGUAGGGUGCGAGCGUUGUCCGGAAUUAUUGGGCGUAAAGAGCUCGUAGGCGGUGUGUCACGUCGGCCGUGAAAACCUGCAGCUUAACUGUGGGCGUGCGGUCGAUACGGGCAUCACUGGAGUUCGGCAGGGGAGACUGGAAUUCCUGGUGUAGCGGUGAAAUGCGCAGAUAUCAGGAGGAACACCGGUGGCGAAGGCGGGUCUCUGGGCCGAUACUGACGCUGAGGAGCGAAGGCGUGGGGAGCAAACAGG
rnacentral:rRNA from 1 species